UACGAAGGGGGCUAGCGUUGCUCGGAAUCACUGGGCGUAAAGCGCACGUAGGCGGCUUUCUAAGUCAGGGGUGAAAUCCUGGAGCUCAACUCCAGAACUGCCUUUGAUACUGGAGAGCUCGAGUCCGGAAGAGGUGAGUGGAACUGCGAGUGUAGAGGUGAAAUUCGUAGAUAUUACGGAAGAACACCAGUGGCGAAGGCGACUUACUGGACACAUAUUGACGCUGAGGUGCGGAAAGCGUGGGGAGCAAACAGGGA
rnacentral:rRNA from 1 species